CCUUUCUGUUUGUGUGUCUGUUUGUGUGUCUCUCUCUCUCUCUCUCUCUCUCUCUCGCACUCUCUCUCUUUUUCUCUCACUCCUGCGUCUCAUCCCUCUCUUCCCACCAGUCUAAGAAGGGCAGGUCUUGUUCGUCUCAGAGGGAGGUCAUUGUGGUGUUGCCCAGUGGUCAGUCUGUAUUGGUCAGAUGUGACAUGAAGUCCAGAGGGAGGGACGUGUUCGACAUGGUGGUGGCUCACGCUAACCUGGUGGAGCACUUCUACUUCGGACUGGCCUACACAGACGGUAAGAAACUGACGAUAGCUUUGUGUCUCAUAAACAUAGGAUCUUAAUUUGAUCACUCUUUUGUUGCUGAGAAGUUUGCAGGGCAUGCAAACUUGUAGUGUAUUUAAGGUUUAAAAAGGCAUCUAAAGUUUGUCAUUUCUACUUUAAAAUGUCAGACUUGAUUUUCCCUAACUAAAAAUGUAUCGACCCCUACAAAAAAAAUGUAAAUUCAUUAUAAUCCACAUAAUAAUUCACAUUUCCUGUUGCGGCAGUAUUAUUUUCCUGCUGUAGCAAGCUGGCUCAAAUUAAGAUGCUACAUCUGUAAAUAUAUCUUUCCUUUCAUUUAGAUGAUGAAUAUUUCUUCUUGGACCACGAGACGAAAAUCUCUAAAGUUGCUCCUGACAGUUGGAAGAAAGUAGUGUCGACCUCUUUUCUUGUUUUUCUAAGGAUCAAGUUUUUUGUUGAUGAUAUCUCCUUCAUAUUACACAGAGUGACGCUUCACCAGUACUACUUGCAGCUGCGGAAGGACAUCCUAGAGGACAGGUUGUACUGCAACGAGGAGACAGGCAUGUUCCUGGCAGCUCUCGCUCUACAGGCUGAGUUUGGGGACUACAUGUCUGAGUUGUAUGGCAGGAACUACUACCAGCUAGAGCAGUUUGUGUCUAAGAGGAUGCUGGAGAAGAUGGCUCUGCCCAAUCUAAAGGAGGAGUUGCCACGGUUACAUGCCAACAAUGCCCAGAUGCUGCCAGAGGAGGCAGAAACCGAGUACCUAAAAGUAGGCAAGAGGAGAGACAACACACAUAAAUAUAGUAUACAGUACUGUUUGCACACACACUCAGUACAUUUAC
rnacentral:lncRNA from 1 species